GUGAGUGAGCACUGCAAGUCUCAGUAAGUGUUAGCAGUCAGUGUCAACAGUGAUGAAGAUGACGGUGACUGAAUGUAACAUGAAAAUGGUCAGAAAAGCAAAAUGUCUCCAGGGAAAGUAAUCAGAAGAGUGGUUGUGGGUGGGGAACCUUUCUGAGGAAAAAACAUGGAGGAUCUUGAUGGUGAUGGGAUUAUGUGGGUGCGUGCUUUGUCAAAACAGACCAAACCACCUCUAAGCCUGAACAUCGUACUGCGUGCGAAUUAUACCUGAAUGAAUGAAAAAUAGCUAGGAGAGGCAGUGAUUCCUCCAAGUUAACAAAGCAUUAUUCGCACAGUGCUUUACAAAGCACUUUUACUUAAGUGACACUCCCAUCCACCCUGACGUAGGUCUCAUAGCUUUUCGUUUUCAAAUCACAAAACAAUGAGGUUCAGAACUGACUGUCCGAGUCACUCAGUGCGAGCAGGUUCUGAGAUCCAGCCCACAUGACACCCUGGCCCUGUAUGUUAGCUGCACCGCUGCUGUAGAGUACAUGUAGCAGGUAAGAACUGUGACACCCCAGUGGGUCACCAAGGCCUCGGAACCCCAGUGCAAUACCACAUCACCCUAGACACACCAACAGUCCAGAACUCUUACCUCCGGCACACUCCGAGUGGGAAACAGUCUGGGGGAAGAGGGGCAGAACGGGGUCAGAACCCGGGCCCUACCAUUUACCCUGGAUAUUCACAGUCCCUCACUCUGAAGACUGACUGAUUUGAGAAGAGAAUGAAUACUGGUAUCCACCCGUGGGCCUGUCAGAGAGCACUUCUGUGUUAGCGACCAAUACACAGCAUGCCUGAGACCUAACUGUAUUUACUCCGUCUCAUGCUGAAGAGGUGGGGAACGUUCUCCAUGCCUGAGUGGACAGGUGACCUAAGCUGGCACACUCAAGCAGCUUCUCAUCCUGACUUGGAGAGAAGCCUCCCACCUUACCUUGGCUGGAUAUGAACGACGAAGCUGAACCAUCUGGUGUUGGCUCGGUAACCCUGCCUGAGGGACACGCUAACAUCGCGGAGGGCAGAGCAGAGAG